GAGAACCUUACUUGGAUAAGACAUAAAAGGGAUUGACGGAUUGAUUGUUCUUUCUUGAUUGUAUGGGUGGUGGUGCAUGGCCGUUCUUAGUUCGUGGAUUAAUUUGUCUGGUUAAUUCCGUUAACGAACGAGACUUUAACUCGCUAAUUCGUAUCAUGUGUUGUGUGCACAGAUGUUGAUUGGAAGGACUGCAUAUGCCUAAUAUGAGGAAGCGUGAAGCAAUAA
rnacentral:rRNA from 1 species